GGAUUAGAUACCNUGGUAGUNCACGCCGUAAACGAUGUCGACUUGGAGGUUGUGCCCUUGAGGCGUGGCUUCCGGAGCUAACGCGUUAAGUCGACCGCCUGGGGAGUACGGCCGCAAGGUUAAAACUCAAAUGAAUUGACGGGGGCCCGCACAAGCGGUGGAGCAUGUGGUUUAAUUCGAUGCAACGCGAAGAACCUUACCUACUCUUGACAUCCAGAGAACUUAGCAGAGAUGCUUUGGUGCCUUCGGGAACUCUGAGACAGGUGCUGCAUGGCUGUCGUCAGCUCGUGUUGUGAAAUGUUGGGUUAAGUCCCGCAACGAGCGCAACCCUUAUCCUUUGUUGCCAGCGGUCCGGCCGGGAACUCAAAGGAGACUGCCAGUGAUAAACUGGAGGAAGGUGGGGAUGACGUCAAGUCAUCAUGGCCCUUACGAGUAGGGCUACACACGUGCUACAAUGGCGCAUACAAAGAGAAGCGACCUCGCGAGAGCAAGCGGACCUCAUAAAGUGCGUCGUAGUCCGGAUUGGAGUCUGCAACUCGACUCCAUGAAGUCGGAAUCGCUAGUAAUCGUAGAUCAGAAUGCUACGGUGAAUACGUUCCCGGGCCUUGUACACACCGCCCGUCACACCAUGGGAGUGGGUUGCAAAAGAAGUAGGUAGCUUAACCUUCGGGAGGGCGCUUACCACUUUGUGAUUCAUGACUGGGGUGAAGUCGUAACAAGGUAA
rnacentral:rRNA from 1 species